CGCCGCUCUUUUAAGCGCAAAAUGAUAGCGAUCAAGUUUAUUUUAUGGUCGGCAUGGAUCAGCCUCAGGAUGCCGGCGUUUCUCAAAAAACGCAAAAAAGUCAAUGAAAGUUUUCAACAACACCAAGCGCGUGACAAAAGGAAAUGCCUUCAAAAGUACAAAGACUUGUACACUAUUGAACUGAACCGGCAACGUUCCACCACUAAAGUAGAGGUUAUGAUGUGCGAGUUGAUAGCAGAACUAAACCUACCCCUGUCAUCUGCCGAUACAUUCAACAAAGCAUUUAAACUAAUGUUUCCCUAUUCUAAAAUUGCAGGAGGUCAGUUUUUAUUCUAUUUUCUAUGUGUAGGCAGGAG
rnacentral:lncRNA from 1 species